rnacentral:rRNA from 1 species
ACAUAUAGCGAAAAGUGGCAGAGAUGUCAUGUCCGCAAGGGCGCUAUACAGUUGGUGCAUGGUUGUCGUCAGCUCGUGUCGUGAGAUGUUGGUUUAAGUCCCGCAACGAGCGCAACCCUCGUUCUGUGUUGCCAGCAUUUAGUUGGGGACUCACAGGAGACUGCCGGGGUCAACUCGGAGGAAGGUGGGGAUGACGUCAAAUCAUCAUGCCCCUUAUGUCUUGGGCUGCACGCAUGCUACAAUGGCUGGUACAAAGGGCUGCGAAACCGUAAGGUGGAGCGAAUCCCAAAAAGCCAGUCUCAGUUCGGAUUGGGGUCUGCAACUCGACCCCAUGAAGUCGGAGUUGCUAGUAAUCGCAGAUCAGCAACGCUGCGGUGAAUACGUUCCCGGGCCUUGUACACACCGCCCGUCACAUCACGAAAGUCGGUAACACCCAAAG